GACAGAGGAUGCAAACGUUGCUCGGAAUUACUGGGCGUAAAGCGCAUGUAGGCGGUCAGGUAAGUCGGACGUGAAAGCCCGGGGCUCAACCCCGGAAGCGCGCUCGAUACUGCUUGACUUGGGUCCUGAAGAGGAGAGCGGAAUUCCCGGUGUAGAGGUGAAAUUCGUAGAUAUCGGGAGGAACACCAGUGGCGAAGGCGGCUCUCUGGGCAGGUACCGACGCUGAGAUGCGAAAGCGUGGGAAGCAAACAGG
rnacentral:rRNA from 1 species